ACACUGAACAUUGAGCCUUGAUGUGUAGGAUAGGUGGGAGGCUUUGAAGCGUGGACGCCAGUCUGCGUGGAGCCGACCUUGAAAUACCACCCUUUAAUGUUUGAUGUUCUAACGUGGACCCGUAAUCCGGGUUGCGGACAGUGUCUGGUGGGUAGUUUGACUGGGGCGGUCUCCUCCUAAAGAGUAACGGAGGAGCACGAAGGUUGGCUAAUCCUGGUCGGACAUCAGGAGGUUAGUGCAAUGGCAUAAGCCAGCUUGACUGCGAGCGUGACGGCGCGAGCAGGUGCGAAAGCAGGUCAUAGUGAUCCGGUGGUUCUGAAUGGAAGGGCCAUCGCUCAACGGAUAAAAGGUACUCCGGGGAUAACAGGCUGAUACCGCCCAAGAGUUCAUAUCGACGGCGGUGUUUGGCACCUCGAUGUCGGCUCAUCACAUCCUGGGGCUGAAGUAGGUCCCAAGGGUAUGGCUGUUCGCCAUUUAAAGUGGUACGCGAGCUGGGUUUAGAACGUCGUGAGACAGUUCGGUCCCUAUCUGCCGUGGGCGCUGGAGAACUGAGGGGGGCUGCUCCUAGUACGAGAGGACCGGAGUGGACGCAUCACUGGUGUUCGGGUUGUCAUGCCAAUGGCACUGCCCGGUAGCUAAAUGCGGAAGAGAUAAGUGCUGAAAGCAUCUAAGCACGAAACUUGCCCCGA
rnacentral:rRNA from 1 species